GAUGAACGCUGGCGGCGUGCCUAAUACAUGCAAGUCGAGCGAAUGGAUUAAGAGCUUGCUCUUAUGAAGUUAGCGGCGGACGGGUGAGUAACACGUGGGUAACCUGCCCAUAAGACUGGGAUAACUCCGGGAAACCGGGGCUAAUACCGGAUAACAUUUUGAACCGCAUGGUUCGAAAUUGAAAGGCGGCUUCGGCUGUCACUUAUGGAUGGACCCGCGUCGCAUUAGCUAGUUGGUGAGGUAACGGCUCACCCAGGCAACGAUGCGUAGCCGACCUGAGAGGGUGAUCGGCCACACUGGGACUGAGACACGGCCCAGAGUCCUACGGGAGGCAGCAGUAGGGAAUCUUCCGAAAUGGACGAAAGUCUGACGGAGCAACGCCGCGUGAGUGAUGAAGGCUUUCGGGUCGUAAAACUCUGUUGUUAGGGAAGAACAAGUGCUAGUUGAAUAAGCUGGCACCUUGACGGUACCUAACCAGAAAGCCACGGCUAACUACGUGCCAGCCGCCGCGGUAA
rnacentral:rRNA from 1 species